GUGGUUGGCAAUCCUGCCCAUGGCAGGGGGUUGGAGUUAGAUAAUCUUGGAGGUCCUUUUCAAUCCAGGCUAUUCUGUGAUUCUAUAAAGACAGUUACUUUUCUCCAGGAGAGAAAAUGCUAACUAGUAUGGAUGAGUAUUUUGCUUCUGUCCUCGUUAACCAAAACUUAUGUUGGCAAUUAAAGAUCAUUAGCUUUUCCUAGUUUAUGCACUAGCCAGUAAAUAAAACUGUGUAACUCUUCAUCCCUGAGGUGCCCAAGUUGCUGCCAACUUGUGUAAGAAGCAAGAUGCGUUUUACAGUAAUCACUGGGUCCAAAACUUAACAGGUACUUGUAGAGACAUUAAGGAUACACUGAUGUAAAGAGUUUCAGCACAAAGACUGCACUGUCUUCCUUUUGUCUUCAUUAAGCAGUUUUCUAAGUGUUUGUGAAAUUAACUAUUGCACAGUGCCUGGAAGUGGGAAAAAAAAAACAGGGGUAUGCCUUCACUUCUUCAAUGAAGGCAGCAAGGCAGUUCUGUGGCUGCACUCUGCUGGGAAUAAGAAGGUGCACGUGCACUUUGGGAAUGGCUUUGGUAAGGUUCGAUGUUGCUGUACCAAGUAUUUGCUGUUUACAGAAUAUUUCAGCUAGACACAGUGUAUGGGAUUGCUAAGUUUCAGCCAAAACACAUAAGGGCAUGAUUUGUGUUUUUAAAGUGCCUAGCAUUGAAAAUGUUGAGGAAACCAGGUACUAAUGUGCUUUAUUUUCAAGUAUGUAGCAGUUGAUUUAUUUGUAUUUAAAUACAGAUUAUUUUAACAGAAAUCAAUAGUGAAAUUUGGUCUAAA